rnacentral:lncRNA from 1 species
UAACAUUAACUACAUGAAAAAUACCACUGAAAUAUCAAAUAUAUCUUAUCAAUCUUCAUUCAAUUGCAUUUCAUAAUAUCAAUUAAAUUUCCCAAUUACGUUACAAACUUAUAAUAUGUUACAUGUUCUCUUAUACCCAUUAACCUAACAAUUAAACUUGAAAUUCAAACACUGCAAUCAAAUCGAUUAACAUUAACCUCCAAUGCAUUGUUUAAAACGAAUAUCAGAAUCUUACUUACAAGUACGAAAUGAAACCGUAAUUGUUUUGCUCGUUUUUCUUAUCUUCUGCACUAUUUUCAGCCUCUGCCUUCUUCUCUUCACGACAAAAGACAACUUCAUCUAACUCUGGUUCACCUGUUAAUAGUUUGAUGCAAUUUUGACGGAUACCUUCUUCCCUUUGCUCUGUCAUGCUUUUAGCAGGAUCAAUUCUGGGAUUUGUCCAAAUCACCAUGUUCCAAUAAUCACGACCCACCCAUAACAAGAAAUGAUGUUACAAAAAUUAUAUGGUGAAGACAACUUCACAAGAUGAUGCUUCACAUUUUACCAAAUUCUGCCACAUUCCAGCGCCUGUAGCUUCGAUUUUAUGGGGCUGCAAUUUUUUUGGUUUCCCUAAUUUGUGAUAUGAAAUAAUGAAAGACGAUUUUGGUUAUCUCGUUUGCUGCUUCUAAUGCUUUCCUCUUUCAAAACCUAGAUACUGUACUUGCUUUCUUCAAUAUUCUGGCUUCUUUCUUCAAUUUUCGGGCUUUUCCAGCGACACUCAUCACUUCCAUCUCAAAUUUUCUUUACCGACUAACCCAUUUGCUUCCUUUUUUCAACAACCAUUUUAGCAGGUAGCCAUUCUUUUGUUUUUUAAAAUGAAUAUCCAACCACUACCUGAACCUUGUUUUACGUUAUGUUUCACCACACCCGUUGGAUCUACAAAUUAAAGAAUCCAACGGUUCAUGUUCUGGUAUUGUUACUUACAUCAAAUGUAAGUUAAGCGCUGCCUAUUAUUAGUAUUAUUAUUUUCCAUGCAGAUGUUACUGAUCAUAUAUGUUGUUUGUUACAUUUCUUUCAUUCUUAGGAACCAUGGGGAAAAUAUACUCUUUAAAAGCAUAUGUGUUUAUUUAAUUGUA